GCAUUAAAAGCUUUACGGAUGUUGCAGUUAGACCCUUCUUAUCUUAAAUAUUAACAGCUUCUUCACCAAUACGAUCUGCACGAAGCUACAGAGGAAAAACUAAAAAAAAAACAAAAUAAAGAUAUAAAUUCAUAUAGGGAUGGGAAAAGAACUGACAAAUCAAUUUGUCAAAGAGUGAGCAUAAAACAUCUAAAUUUUUGUCCUCUGAUUUGGAUUAACCUUUG
rnacentral:misc_RNA from 1 species